GAAUGCAUGAAUGAAGAAAUGAAUGAAUGCACUUAGAAUCCCCAUCUGAAUGUGGCAGCUGUUGACGCCUCCUGGAAAGAACGACGUAGAUUUGAAACUAACCCAGCAUAAGGGUGUUGGGGCUCUUGGGGUCCUAAUAAUAGGUUUAAAAAUCCUGACGACGUACUAGUUCUUUCUCUCUCCAUCUCUUACAGCCCCCUGUGUCCGCAUGUUCUUUUCACCAAAUCUCUUUGCCAUUUACUGUGGGCAGCGGACUCACCCUCCCCGCCCAGGCCCCAUUCCGGGGGUGAUUGAUGACCACCGGACACACACAGACGGACACAGAGAGAAAUUUCUACUUCUUCCCUGAGCCUUGGGCAGCCGUGGAGACGGCAAUUUUUCAUAGAGGCAGGUCGGCGAGCGAGAGGAGUGGAAUUUCAAGGCCUCUGCCAGGCCCUGUGUUGGCGGAGGAUGUCCCACAGAUCCCACAGUCGUGCUCUGUUUUGAGUCUUUGGACUGGAUCCAGAAGGUUCUGAAGAAUACAUAGUGAGAAAAGCCAGCAGUCAGUGGGAGAUGCCGGCCCUCCCAGAGGCUGGGACGAUCUCCGACUCAGUUCCCAGCACCCAGGGGCGCUCACUGCCUGACUACUAGCGACCUGGAGCUACGGAUCCCAUGCCUGCGUCUCUGCCACCUGUGGGGGCUGCGGUGCCCUGCCUGGCCUCAGGUUAGCCGUGAUGGCAGCAGCUACUAUGAGCCAGCCUUGCCUUCCCCCCAGGAGUUCUUGAGCAAUCACUUCCUGAGGCGGACGUUCAUCGGAUCCCAUCUCACAGAUGAGAAAACUGAGUCUCGGAGAAGUUUGCACCUGCCAGUGAGUGCUGGAGCCAGGUCUGUCUGACCUCAGCAUUUGACCUCUGCACUCCACCCAGAGAGGACGCGUGCCUGGGGAGGCACAGCCCACAGGGAGGGAUCCUGGAAAACUGCUCCUUUGCCAUCACUCAGACCCAAAGGGCAAGAGAAAGAAAAAUAAAUUUUAAAACCCUC
rnacentral:lncRNA from 1 species